rnacentral:rRNA from 1 species
UACGGGGGGGGCAAGCGUUGUUCGGAAUUACUGGGCGUAAAGGGUUCGUAGGUGGCCCGCUAAGUCACACGUGAAAUCCCUCAGCUUAACUGGGGAACUGCGUCUGAUACUGGUUGGCUUGAGUGCAGGAGAGGAACGCGGAAUUCCAGGUGUAGCGGUGAAAUGCGUAGAUAUCUGGAGGAACACCGGUGGCGAAGGCGGCGUUCUGGACUGCAACUGACACUGAGGAACGAAAGCCAGGGGAGCAAACGGG